GGGCCCGCACAAGCGGUGGAGUAUGUGGUUUAAUUCGAUGCAACGCGAAGAACCUUACCAGGGUUUGACAUCCUGCGAAUCUCUUGGAAACAGGAGAGUGCCUUCGGGAACGCAGUGACAGGUGGUGCAUGGCUGUCGUCAGCUCGUGUCGUGAGAUGUUGGGUUAAGUCCCGCAACGAGCGCAACCCACGUCUUUAGUUGCCAGCAUUUAGUUGGGCACUCUAGAGAAACUGCCUGGGAUGACCAGGAGGAAGGCGAGGAUGACGUCAAGUCCUCAUGGCCCUUAUGGGCUGGGCUACACACGUGCUACAAUGGCGGUGACAAAGGGAUGCAAUAGGGCAACCUGGAGCAAAUCCCUAAAAGCCGUCUCAGUUCGGAUUGUUCUCUGCAACUCGAGAGCAUGAAGUUGGAAUCGCUAGUAAUCGUAGAUC
rnacentral:rRNA from 1 species